GACGAACGCUGGCGGCAUGCCUAACACAUGCAAGUCGAACGAGACCUUCCGGUCUAGGGGCGCACGGGUACGUGACGCGUGGGAACCUGCCCUUAGGUUCGGAGUCACUCCCCGAAAGAGGUGCUCAUACCGGUUGAUGUCUUCGGACCAAAGACUUCUCGCCUUUGGAUGGGCCCGCGUUAGAUUAGCGGGUUGGUAGGGUAAAAGCCUGCCAAGGCGACGAUCCAUAGCUGGUCUGAGAGGAUGAUACACUGCACUGGGCCUGCGACACGGCCCAGACUCGGACGGGAGGGAGCAGUAGGGAAUAUUAUACGAGGGACGAAAGCGUGACCAAGCAGUGCCGCGUGAGUGAUGAAGGCCUUAGGGUAGUACUGCCCUCUUACCCGAGAUGUUAAUGACAGUACCGGGUGAAUAAGCUCCGGCUAACUCCGUG
rnacentral:rRNA from 1 species